GGUCCUGUGGUGUAGUUGGUUAUCACGUGAGCUUCACACGCUCAAGGUCCUGAGUUCGAGCCUCGGCGGGAUCA
rnacentral:tRNA from 5 species